rnacentral:lncRNA from 1 species
GCUAGCUAGCUAGCUAGCUUUGAUUGACAAAAUGAUCUUUUUACAUCUUAAUUUAUUGUAAUUCAUGAACAAUAUAUAGCUAGCUACCUACCGCGCCGUGCAUGUAAAUUACAAUAGAAAAAGAAAUACAAGGAACUAAUGGCAAAUUAAGGGGAUCAGAGCUAGUUAAUUAAGGCUAUAUAUUUCAAACAGCAUACUGGUCAGGGUCCGACACACGAGUUUCAUGGAAUCUGGCAAUGAAGGCUGAGGCUUUACGAUCAAUGCCAGGUUCGCCAACCCAGCGUCCUCUGUCUUCAUCACUCGGGCAUAUUCUUCUAGUAGUGUUCCCUGCAGCUUCAUCCCAAUAAUCCUCACUUCCGGUACCAGAACAACAAGCCUUAAAUAUGGAGAAAAUGGAAGAUGAUUUCCUCUGACGCCUAUUGUAACUUCCCAUUAAUUAUACUCUAGCUCUUCUCUUCUCUUCUAUUCUAGAUCUGUUUCAACUAUAUAUCCUUUUGAAGAAGGGAAAUCGGAUGGAAUGGAUUUCUAUAGAUGAGUUAGGUUUUGAGUGGCAUGAAAUAUCUUUUGGCCACCCAAGUGCAUUUAUAUACUAAAGGGAGGAGCUAGCUAGUCAUAUAGCUAUGCAGACUCUCAAAUGUACACAGUCUAUAAUCGUAGAGUAGUCACUACAAUAUGAGGAUUCUACAUUUCUACGAUAGCAGAGUACUAACUACUCUACAAUCAGUCAGUGACUAUUCUACGAUCGUAGGGUAACGUAAC